UGGGGGAUAUUGCACAAUGGGCGAAAGCCUGAUGCAGCAACGCCGCGUGAGGGAAGAAGGUUUUCGGAUUGUAAACCUCUGUCCUCGGUGACGAAACAAAUGACGGUAGCCGAGGAGGAAGCCACGGCUAACUACGUGCCAGCAGCCGCGGUAAUACGUAGGUGGCAAGCGUUGUCCGGAAUUACUGGGUGUAAAGGGAGCGCAGGCGGGGAAGCAAGUCAGCAGUGAAAUACAUGGGCUUAACCCAUGAACUGCCGUUGAAACUGUUUUUCUUGAGUGAAGUAGAGGCAGGCGGAAUUCCGAGUGUAGCGGUGAAAUGCGUAGAUAUUCGGAGGAACACCAGUGGC
rnacentral:rRNA from 1 species